UACGUAGGGUGCAAGCGUUAUCCGGAAUUAUUGGGCGUAAAGAGCUCGUAGGCGGUCUGUCGCGUCUGCUGUGAAAUCUGGGGGCUCAACCCCCAGCCUGCAGUGGGUACGGGCAGACUAGAGUGCGGUAGGGGAGAUUGGAACUCCUGGUGUAGCGGUGGAAUGCGCAGAUAUCAGGAAGAACACCGAUGGCGAAGGCAGAUCUCUGGGCCGUAACUGACGCUGGAGGAAGCGAAAGCACGGGGAGCGAACAGG
rnacentral:rRNA from 1 species